rnacentral:lncRNA from 1 species
UAGUUCCGGGCUAACUCUGAAGCAGCUAACACUACUGACCACCUCGGUUCCUCAGGUCCGAUCCUACACAGGUGGACUCAAAUAAGGGACCAAACAACUCUAACAUAACACUAAAUAUUUCCCCAAAAAUCCCUCUAAAACACCUCAAAACAUGCAUGCAAAACAGGCAAAGGAAGGCUGGACAGGGCACCUUCGACGGCACAUUCGGCGGCCGAAAGCUCCCACAGAUCCGAAAGUCAGGCAUUUUCAGAGGCAGGUUCGGCGGCCGAAUGUCUCCUCCAGAGACGAAAGUCAGGCACUUUCGGCGGCACCUUCGGCAGCCGAAAGUCCCUUCCAGAGCCGAAAGUCCAUUUUCGGGGGCAAGAUUUGGCGGCCAAAGAUUGCUUCAACAGGCAGGUUCGGAAGCCGAAACCACUUUCGGCGGCCGAACCUGGGUUCCCCAGCAAGGCAGAACCCAUUUCCGCCUCAUGCAAUCUGCCUCCAAAACCUCCCACACUCACAUCCAACGCUUCCAAAACAUGCACAACUCAUACAACAAGCAUAUAGGGGUCUCAAACUAGCCUAAACCCCCCAACAAACAUCACAUAACAUGCAUUAACAUACUUUUAUCAUAAAGGGUAUCAAAACCCUUAACAUGCAUAUCCAUACAACUCAUGCAUUCCUAGCCUUUAACACUUCAUAAAACUUACUUAAAACAUCACAAAAGAUAAAGAUCUACACUUACCUCUUGAAGAUCGAGGGUUGGUGCGACCCAAGCUUGAAGGUAUGGAGAAUCCAAGCUCCAAAGUCUCCAAGCUCCAAAACUUGAACUUUAAGCUCAAAACUUCAAAACCCGAACUAAAACUCAUAAAAACCAUGAAGGAUUUGAAGAAAUAACGAGAAAUGAGCCAAAGGAGGACAUGAACACACCUGAGCUCGAGAAUGGGGAGAAAACUCGCCCAUUUUCUGUCCGAGGGCCUUUUAUAGGUGGUUUGCUGAACCACCUUCGGCAGCCUAACGUGCCUCCUAAACUCAUGCAUGUUCGGCGGCCGAACUUGAGAUUCGGCGGCCGAACCUGGUUUCUACCCUCAACGCUUUUGGAAGCCUAAAACACUCCCGAAACAGCCUUAUGUUCGGCGGCCGAACUUGAGAUUCGGCGGCCGAACCUGGCUAAUGCCUCCUUGGUCUUUUCUUUUCAAAAUUUAAUUUCUUUUGCAUUAAAAGUAUAAAAUCAUGUGAAAACAUUUUAGAAACACAUUUUACCCCUCUAGAAGACUGACAUCUUCAGAAUUCCAGAUUCCAACGGAGAUUCCGCUGGAAGGUAGGGAUUCCGAUGCCGGAAUCUAGCCGGGUAUUACACACGUGUUCUAAACGACUAUUUUGGAUGGAAGGAUUACGAAUUUGGACGGACUACGAAUUUGAACGGAAGAGAAAGUGAGUGAUUUAAGUGUUGGAUCGUCAAAAUAAAGAGAUAAAAGUGUUAAUUACAUUAAACUUCAGGGAUUAAAAAAUAUAUUUUCCUUUUUUUUUUUAUAAAUUUCAUUAAUACAGUGCUUCAUUUGACUUGAAAUAAAAAAUUAAAAAAAAAUAUUAUUGUCCUUCUAUUAAAAAUAAUUCAUUUCUUCUUUUAAUUUUGUGUGAAAUGUUUGAAAUAGGCUUUGAUUUUCUUCCAAUUUGCAAUGUCCACUUCCUCCAACUCAUUACAGUUGAUGUUCUGAAAUUUAGAGAAUAGGAUUUACAGUGCGAUUAUAAGCUUAGAUAGAGAGAAAUGUGUUUUUCUCCUUUUAUUCAUUUCAUUUUGUCUACUAGUGACAGUCUAACGGCCUCUCUACUACAAUGCCACCUGUCUCUAUCACGUGGUUCCAUAGGUACGGAAGUGUUUAGGGAUGGCAAGCGGGCGGGUUUUCACAGGUACCCGAUCCCCCCAAACCCUAUUAGGACGGAUUUGGGUUUUUACAAAACGGAUUUGGGCGGAUUCGGGUUUGAAAAAUUUUACCAGUCUCGGAUUCGGGUAGGGUUCGGGAUUAGGUGAUCGGAUACCCGUUACCCGAAUCCGAUUAACUAUACUAACAAAACUAACCCUAAUCCCUAAUUUAUUUUUUCAUUUUACUCUUUCCUCUCUUCGUCUACGUCUCUCUCUCUCCCUCGCUUCCCUUCCCAUAGUUCUCAGUCACGCCUCUCCCCCACUUCACUGACGACUGCCGGCAGUCCAGUCGUCACCGGCGACGUCUUCUUUCUCUCCCCAGUCGACGAUAAAUCUUCUCUCUCCCCGUCAGCAAUAUCUCCUUCUCUCUCUCCAGCGGCGACAUCUCCGACUUUUCAGUUGAAGACAACUCUUCCCUCUGCCCGGUCGGCGUCGGCGAUAUCUCCUUCUCUCUCCCCAGUCGGGUAAAAUCUACUCUUUUCGAUUUAUGCUUCUCUCCCCGCACUUCACUGACGCUAGAGACCACCAUUCUCUCCUCAAUCGGCGACAUAACUCUCUUCAGGUUUCAAGAUCUUUUAUGUGUAUGUUCUUAAAGAAUUUUAUAAUUUAUGAACUAUUAAUCUAAUUAUUUGGAUAUGUUAAAAAAUCUAAUUAUUUGCUAUUUGAUUAAUGUAAUACUGUUGAUUUUUAAAAUUUAUGGACAAUUAAUCUAAUUACUUGUCAUUGAACAUUUCUCCUCCUACUGGGUUGUGCAACUGUUAAGAUAGUUUAUUUGGUUUUGUCAUUUAAUUGAAUUAAAAAAAUUAUUUGCUUUGUAUCGGGUUCGGGUAUUGUGCGGGUAUUGUUAAACGGGUUUGGGACGGAUUCGGAUAAUAAAAUUAAAAUAUUAAACGGGUUUGGGACGGGUUCGGAAAUUGUAUAUAUAAUCAGGUUCGGGUUUGGGUACUCUCAAUUUUACGGGUACCCUACCCGUUUACAUCCCUAGAAGUGUUAGAGCCUCCUUCCAUGCCAGGCGGCUAUUUAAUUCCCCCGAUACGCAUGCGGGCAGGGCUGCGAAGUGACUGGACCUGCUAUCGUUUACCACGUCACAUCACUGGGCUGGAUUUCUUCUCAAUCGACCUAGGCUCAUGGACGACUCAGCCUGUCCUGCGCACCUGGGUCGAGACUUAAGAUACUAAACCGGGCCACUGAGGAAGGCGCUAGAGAUUUUGAGCCAGCGCUGUUUUCUUGGGCCCGAUCAUACUCAAAGACGGUGAAACCCAGCGGCCAUCAACACUCUUAUACUAAUUUCAAUAUGAUCCCAUCAUUCUCAUUUUCAGAAAAUUUUUAAAAUUAACAAAGUUCUCCAAAUAAUCAACAAAUGAAAUUACAUAGUGCCACUAAUUUUAUGCAAUCGAUAGAAGUGAAAAUAAUUAAAAUCUCCAUAACGAUGAGAAUCAAAUGAGUUGAUAAAAAAAAUAUUCUGAAGGAAACAGGCAAACCUCCAUUAUAUAUAAUAGCCUGAUACAAAGUAUAAUUGGUACCACAAUAUUGAUUUUGAGAAGUUCUUACAAAAAAAAAAUCGUCUUUGGCUGAGAGUAAUUAUCAGAGUCGCAAUUUGUCGCAGAGAUAACUGGUGGCGGGCGCUAGUGGAGGCGUUCAAGUUCGAUCGCCAGGGAGGAUUGCUCCAAGGACCUUGUGUGCGAGACAUCGCUGCUGGAAAUUAUUGCUAUUGAUUAUAGGUGGUUGCUGCAAGUCGAUCACCGAUGGUCAGAGAAGAGCUUUCAUCAUUGACGCUGCAAAUCGCGAGUAACAUUCUCACCAACGAUGCAAAUCGCAAGCAACAUUCUCAUCAAAGACGCAAAUUGCAAGCAGAAGACCCAUGGAAAGUUCGUCCAUUACUCAGCCAAGGAAAGAUGGGUGCUAGAAGAGAAGAUGAUAGAAGAUAAGGAAAUAAAAGAGACGAAUAGAAAGAGAAAAAGGGAAAAGAUAUGAUUUUGGUUAAGGAAUAUGAGGAUAAUUUUAUAAAUUUUUUGAUACUCUCUCGUUUCACCGAUAAUUACACUAGUAAACUAACUGAAUAUUUAAUAUAAAAAAAAUUUAAUAAUUUUAUUUUAAAAUUAUAAUGUAAAUACACUAAUUAUCAAACAUCAAAUAAGAAAUAGUUCUGCAAGCUAGUGAAUAGGGAGGUUUACUCUUCCAAGUACAAUUCCUAAAUUUACUUUAUAAUUAAUAAUUAUUAUUAUUAUUAUCCUUCAUGCUAAUUAUUUAAUUAUAUUUAAAAUAUUAUUAUAUUUUAUAUAGUAAAGUUAAAAAUAUAAAUUAAAAUUAUUAAUAGAUACAGUCAAAGUAUUUAUAAUUCUCUAAUUUAUAAUAUGAUAAGCAAAGGGAGGAUGUAAUAUUUUAUAAGAAUUACGUGAUUUGUGAUGCCAAUUAAAAACCUCUAAUGUAUUAUAUAAUUUCUGGAGCAUAGGAGGUCAAAUUUGCCUUGGGCGAAAUAUCUUAAUGAAGAUAUCAAUCAUAUUUGAAGGCUUUGAAAAUUACAAAAGCAAAAGCCCAAGAACUAUCUCCAAUUAAAAGCAAUAUAUUAAACCUAUUGGAAAUUUAUAAGACAGUUCAGUGUUUGCUUUGCUUCUAUAUGACCAUGACUUUUAACAUAUAAUUUGAUGCCAUCAUAAUCAUAUUCUAUAAAUCCUUUUAUUUUCAUUGUAUCUGAUUUUAUACAACACCCACUAGAGAUUAGCUCUUCAACCUUGGUUUAAUUUCAGUAGGGGAAAAUUUAUGUCGGUUUUGUAAUCGAUUGGGUGAAUCAUCUGCCACUUGCUUAUACAUUGCUAUUUUUCUUUAAUUGGCAGAAUCUUGCUUUUGCUUCUAGACAAUUAAUGUAGCCUAGUUCUUGAAUGGGUAAGGAGGAAAGGAAACUUGUAGUUGUGUUUUACGUCUGCUAUAUAUUAUGUGGUCAGUGUAGCUGUUAAGAGAUGAUAUGGAAGUCCCUGUUAGAUGUAUCAUCUUUUACAGAUGGCAAAUUGAAUGAAAGUGUUGAUGAGUCAUUUUCAUGAUGAAGGAAAAUAGCAUGAAGAGCUGGAAUAAUGACAAAGCUGCAAGAAUGAAUAUCACAUGGUCCAGUCCCCACCACCGUCACAUUCUCUCAAAUCAUGAAAGCAUCACUAGGGAAUCCCAGUAUUGCUGGUGUAGUUUUAAACUUCAGAAAUUGGCUUUCCCCUUUGAACAGAAAAUAUUUUCUCUUAACGCUCCAAACACUAAAAGGUAAUUAAGUAAAAAAUGUUUUUUUUUUUAAAUAAGUAUUUUCUAUGAAUGAAAUGGAAAUUUAGUAACCAAAAACAUUACUUUUUCUAAAUUAUUUCUAAAUAAAAGUUUUCAAUAAUUUAUGUUUGUAUUAUUUCUCCAUUAAGAAUGUUAAAUCGUAUUAUUUUAAGUGAAUUACCAUAUUUUCAACAUAAAAAUAAGUUUGUAUCAUUAAUUUGUUAUAAAAACCACAAACCAUGCCAACUCAAAAAAAAAAAGAAACCACAAACCAUGAUUUUUACGCGCUCAACAUUGACAGUUUCCACGCGUAUUUGAAUUAAUUACUAAUUACACAUAUGAUAAAUAGUUAAUAAAAAUAAUUAGGAUUGGAUAAAAAAACCCGAAAUUUAACAACUAUUUUGAUUUAUACUUUAUAUUUAUUUAUAAAAAUUUAAUCCAAUUAAUUUUUUUAAAUAAUUUUUUUGUUUAAAUGAAAAAUUUUAAAUAAUUUUAAUUUUAAAAAAAUAAAAUUCUUGCAUAAUUUAAAAAAAUUAUUUAAAUUUUUUAUUAUAAAAUAAAUUAUAUGGAUAAAUUUGAAUGUAACAAAUAUUGAUGAUCCCUAAAAAUUGCAAUAUAUUGCACAGACUUGAUGCCUAUGAUAUAGCAAAAGUGUUAAAUUUUAGCAAUUCUUUUUAAUUAAAAUAUAUUAGCAUUCAAUUGAAUUAUAAGAUCAAAUCUAAAAAUAAAAAAUUACAUAGACAAACUGAACAUAAUCAUAAUGGAAAAUGAAAUGGCUUGAUGAACAGUUUGACGUGAAGGUGAGGGGAAGUUAAUAUCAUCCCUAGAAGGAAGACCGACGAAUUCCAAAGAAGACUCACUACCCAGACAACAGAAUACUUGUAAGUCAGAAUUCCUUGGGUUUACUCUCUUUAUAAGUCUUUCACCUUUUUUUAUUAUUUUUUUUCAAAUAACUGUUUUUAAUUUAUUUUCCUUUUAAAUCUUACAUUAAUCCUAAUUCUACUGCAAACUAACUAAUUCGUGUCUGAAAAUUGUGUGCAGUAUAUGUAUAAAUGAUUUGUAUUUGUUCCUCUAUCUAUACCUCCAUCCUUGAAAAUUUAUAUUAAUAAUUAAAUUAUUUACAAAAUAAAAUUUGAAUUUAUUACUAAUAUUAUUUUUUAAAUUUAAAUUUAAUUAUAGAAUUAAAAUUUUAUAAUUAAAUUAAAUACUAAAAAUAUAAUAUUUAUAUUUUAAUGGAGACGGUUAUUUAUAUUUUAAUAUAGACAAUGAUAUUUAUUUUUCUUAAUUUUUUAAUUAAAACUUUAAUAAUUGAAGUUUUAAUAGAAAGCUAUUAAAAAUUAAAACAGUUAAAUAAGAAAUACAGGAAAAAAGGUGAUACGUGAAGGGAAAAUGCAUAGUGGCGGUGAUGGUGAAUAAAAAAAUGAAAGUAGUUGAUGAAAUCGAAAAAGAGACUGUGGAUACGUGGUAGAAAAAGAGAGAUACAUCGAGAAGGAGUAGGGGUUACGUGGUGGUAUCAGAUAUAGGGGUUGCAGACGGAGGGUGAUGGAGGGGUUACGUGGUGGUAUCAGAUGUGGUGCUGCAGACAGAGUGACAGUAGUUUGAAUAAACUGUUGCGGGAGUUGGGGUUGCAGUGGAUCUUAUUGCUUUGCGAGGGAGGUUGGUUUGGUUUUCUGACAUAAAUUUGAGGCGACUUUUGGACGGAAAUAGUGCACCAAUUUUGACAGUCUGUUUUUGGAAAUGUAAGUAACAUUUUUAAUUCUUUUUAUAAAACAUUGUAAAAACAUAUUUCUCAAGAAAAAAUAUUUUUUAUUAUUUAAUUAUAAUUUUAAAAAUUAAAUAAAGUUAAUAAAAUUUUAAAUUACAGGAUUUUAAAUUAAAAAAACAUUCAAAAAAUAUUUUUUUUAAAAAUUAAUUUUAUUUUAUAAAAAAUAUUUUUAUUUAUCAAUUACUUUAAAUAUUUUCUGAAAAAAUAGUUUUAGAAAGUAAUAUAUAUAACCAUUAUUUUGCUUAGAAUAAUUGUGAAAUUUAUGAUUAACUCAGUUAUUUUCAGAUAUUCAGUCCAAUCAAGGAAGAUGAAUUUAAAUAAUUGUAAUUGACUUUAAUACAAAUUAUUGAAAAUAAUAGCAUAAUAAAUUCGAAUCAGAUUUAGAUUUUAUUAUAAUAUAUUUAUCGCUGAAUUCGUUUAUAUUUAUAAUUCGGAUAAUUUAUAUUAAUUUUUAAUUGAAUUUGAUGUUUCAAGUAUGUUAAUAUGAAUGGGAUUGUAAUAUAAAUAUAAAUUUUAAAUAUUUUAAUUUUCACAAAUAUUCUAUUCAUUUGGAAAUCAAUUUUAAUUUAGAGUAGAAACGAUUCCACUUUUAAAAUUUUAGAGUUAAAUUUUAAAUUCAUUUCGGUAUAAUUGAUUAUUUUUAAAAUUAUAAUAAUAUCGUAAAAUGAACUUUAUAAAUUUUUUUGUUAAAAGAACUCUUAAUUAAGCAGUAACAUCAUAUUAAACUAUAUUAUUAAGUAUCACUAUACUUUUCCGUUAUAUAGAUGAGAUUUUUCUCCUUAAAAUGAGUCAAAGCAAAGGAAAUUGUAGAAAAAGAAGGAGGUAAAAGGGUUGUCUGAAUUUUUAAUCUCUAAAAUUUAACGUAAUUAAUACUUCUAUCUCUCUAUUUGGGCGACUCAAUACUUAAGUCUCUCAUUUUCUCUACUGUUCAAAUUCGUAUUCCUUUCGUUUAAAUUCGUAAUCAUUCCAUUCAAAAUAAUUAUUUGAUUAAAAAAUUUAAGAUGAGAUGUGAAAUUUAUUUCAAAAAAUACUCUUAAUGAACUUACUAAAAUACCUCUCAACAUGAAAUUUCUCUAUUUUUCUCUGUUUCUUUUCGGCUAUUAUUUGAUUCUCUUUAUUAUUAUUAUUUUUCUAUUGGUAUCUCAAACUCUAAUAAAAAGAAGCUCAAGGCUAAUAUUCAUUAGGCAUUGUAAUGACUCCAGAUUUUUUAAGAAUAUAUAUAUAUUUACGUUCUCUCUAAUAUUAAUAUUGAGUUUCAACUCUCUCUUUCUUUCUUUUUUUUUUUAAUAAUUUAUUAAUUUUUAGAGAAAAUAUUUAGAGAAAAUAAUUUAUUAAUUUUUCAUUCUUAAUUUAAUUGUAAUUUUAUUAAAAAUAAAGGAUAUUAAUAAAUUUAUCAUAAUAGUUUUAAACUUUAGAAAUUGGCUUUCCCCUUUGAACAGAAAAUAUUUUAUUUUAAAAAAAAGUAUUUUCUAAUUUCUAUGAAUGAAAUGGAAAUUUAGUAACCGAAGAAUUACUUUUCCUAAAUUAGUUCUAAAUAAAAGUUUUCAAUAGUUUAUGUUUGUAUUAUUUCUCCAUUAAGAAUUUUAUAUUGUAUUACUUUAAGUGAAUUACCAUAUUUUCAACAUAAAAAUAAGUUUGUAUCAUUAAUUUAUUAUAGAAACCACAAACCAUGAUUUUUACGCGCUCAACAUUAACAGUUUCCACGCGUAUUUGAAUUAGUUACUGUUGGACCUAAAUGUCCUAAUCCUUGUUUUGAUGAUUAAUAAAUAAUUGGUGUGCUACUAAUUAUUUCCAAGAGUGUUUGUAUUGAGCUUGCAGGUCCCUUAUUGAAACAAAUGAUAUUGCUUCAAUCACAAAAGUGAAAAGUGCCAAUUUUGGAAGCAUACUACAAGAAAGGGAUCAUAAAAUAUUUUUAUUUAUUAUGCUUGUCAUUCUAUUCAUUGUGAUUUUCAAGUAAUUGAUUGUGAUGGCUCAAGGUUCUUUCAUUUCUAAAAGUUCUUUUAGAUAUGGCCAAUUUUUUUUUGAGUACUUGACCUUCAGGGACCAAAAUGAAAUUUUCCAAAAAAAGUGCUUUUGAAAAUAUUUUUCAUCAAAUUGAAAGUUCUAAAAAUAUAGGUUAUAAAAAUUCAAACGGAUUGAAAAAUGGAUUUUUGUAGCCUAAGUUAUGAUUUUUCAAAGUUUUAAAGAAGAAUUUUUGUGCCCCCUAAACACAACCUUCGGCUUCCGAAAGUCAGGGACAGAAACGAAAGUCCCCUAUGUUCGGCCGCCGAACAUUGACUUUCGGCCGCCGAAAGUGGGCUUUUCAACCAGCCCCCAAAGUGUAACCUUCGGCUUCCGAAAGUGAGGGACAGAGACGAAAGUCCCACACUUUCGGCCGCCGAACAUUUAACCUUCGGCCGCCGAAAGUGUGUUUUGGGUCUGCCUCCGAAGCCUAAAGUUCGGCUUCCGAAAGAGAGGAACAGAGACGAAAGUCACCCAAGUUCGGCCGCCGAACUCUGACUUUAGGCCGCCGAAAGUUCUUUUUUAAAGGAAUUGUUUCUUCACCUCAAAUGGUUCGGCCGCCGAACUCUAAGCUUAGGCCGCCGAACCUGAGUUUUUUCUGGGCACGGUAUAACGGUUAUUUCUGAACAUAAACGGCUCUAUUUGCAUUUAAUGCACCCCCAACGGCCAUAUUUAUGAUAGAACUAUAAAUACAACUUGUUUUUGUUGUUGUAAGGUUACAACAACCAUCUAAGCAAAUAUUUAUUGAGAUUACAGCUUUUUUCAUUCCCUCUCUCUCAAAACCUUGAGCCAAAGCAUUGAUUUCUUGAAAGCUUGUUUUGAGUUGUAAUUGAUUGGCUUCUCUGAGUGAGUAAAGGUUGAUUGAGAGAUUCUGUUGUUGUGAGUGUGGCAUUGAGCAAAGAAUUGCUCUUGAGUGGAAAAAGAGAUUUGUAAAGAGUAAAGGCUUGCUCUAAGAUUGUAAGGGUUUUGAUCUUCACCCAAAGAAGAUUUGAUAGUGGAGUUGAACUCUCAAGUGGACCUUGAGGAGAGGACGUAGGCUUGGAUAGCUGAACCUCUAUAAAUCUUUGUGUUGAUUUUUCUCUUCCCUAUUCUCUUCUAAUUUCUUGUCUUUGCCAUUAAAUUUUUAUAAACCCAAUUCACCCCCCCUCUUGGGUUGCCUGAAGGGACAACAGUUACUAAUUAGACAUACGAUAAAUAGUUAAUAAAAAUAAUUGGAAUUGGAUAUAAAAAAAAUCCGAAAAUUAACAACUAUUUUGAUUUAUACUUUAUAUUUAAAAUUAAUUAUUUUAUAAAAAUUUAAUCCAAUUGAUAUUUUUUAAAUAAUUUUUUUGAAAUGAAAUUUUUUAAUUACUUUUAAUUUAAAAAUAUAUUAUUUAAAAAAAAUUAUUGCAUAAUUUAAAAAAAAUAUCUAAAUUUUUUUAUUAUAAAAUAAAUUAUAUGGAUAAAAUUUAAUGUAAUAUUUUUAAUGGACUGCAUUCAAAAUUAGUAGAAAUAGUUAAAUAAAUUGAAAUAGUAAAUGAAUAUAUAUGUAAAUGAAAAUAAUAAUUAGAAAGAUAUUAUUACCCCCACUAGUUGUAACUUAACAGGUUCUUUUAUUAUGUCCCACUUGUGACACCUUUUGCAAACCAUUGUGGCAUUCAUUUUCCUCUUUAGAGCUGAACCUGUCUCACCAUCUUCUCUCAUUCUUGUCUUUUUUGGUUUGUCCGGUUGCCUUUUCAAAGGAGGGGGCUGUAUUGUUGGGUGAUCAUCAUCUGGUUGCAAAUCCCUUUGUGGUAUGGGAUGUAUUGCAUGUUGAUGUACCUUCUCGCAUAUAGAAAUGGUGAAACAUUCAUCACAAAAGUCUUCAAUCUUAACUCUCUUGUAUCUUAUUACUUUAACAACAUGCUUGCAUGACAAGCCUGAAACAUCCCACCAACCACAUGAAUAAGUUCUCAUUUCAAGUGAAACUCCAAACCUAUAAGGACCUUCGUGACAUUCAAAUUCAUUAUUUCUUCAAGGAAUUAACUUCACACAUCUACUAUAGUUUAUAAUUUGCCUCAAAGUCUUUUGAGUUCUUGGGGUCACUUUACCUUGCCAAGUUGCAGCCUUCUCGUACCUUUAAUGGAAUCUAAGCAUACAUCUCUGCCUUACCUUCUCAAUAAUUUGAAUGAUUGGCAAACCCUUUAGAUUUUCAAUCCAGCUGUUAAAUGAUUCAGUGAAAUUGUUGGUGUAGUUGUCACACUUUGCUGUUGUCUAACAUGCAUGUCUUGACCAAUGUGAAAGUGGUAUCUUCAGCAACCAAUCAUAAGGCUUCUGCUCCUUAAAUUUCAUAUUUUUCAUAUGUAGCCAAAACUCAUAUCCAUGAGUAGUUUUGGCUGUAUUCCAGAAGUCCUUGUUUAAUGUCAACCCAAGAAACUCCUUCUUAAAAUUAAUGUAUAAGUGUCUACAGUUAGGGGUGAGCAUUCGGCCGGUUCAGUUUAAAACCGAAUCGAACCGAAUAAAUCGAAAGCUAAAAUUUUAGUAUUUAUAAAAAUUGAAUCGAACCGAUUUUGAUCAGAAAUCGAAUCGAACCGAACCGGUCUGAUUCAGUUCGAUUCAAUUCGGUUUGAUUAGUUUCGAUUUUUAAUAAAUUUUUUAUUUUUUACACUUUAUUUUUAAUAUUUUAAAAUUUAAUUAAAAUAUUUUAAUAUUAAUAUAAUUUAAUUUCUCUAUAUUAUUGAAAAUAACAUAUUAUUAUCACUAAUCGGUUCGGUUCGAUUUUUUUAAUUUUUUUCUGAUCAAAACCAAACCGAACCAAAAUAACUGAAAUUUUUAAAAUUAAAAACUGAACCGAACCGAAUUGAAUAAAAAAUCGAACCGAAUUUUGAAAUGAAUUCGAUUCGGUCGGUUUUUUCGAUUUGAACCAAAUACUGCUCACCCCUAUCUACAGCAAAACCUGUGAGCAACUGAAGGAAAUAUGUCCUUCACAGCUUCCUUUAAUCCCUGCAAAAAAAAGAAGUUUUCAUUAUAUAAAGUCUAUUGAAAUAAUUGUGAAAGGAAUAUAAUGCAGAUAAUGAACAUAUAUAUUUUGUCUAUCAGACAUUAUUGUCCAUAGUCUGUCAUCUGUAUCUUACCCAAUACGUGAUUCCAUGCAUUGUAGAAACCACCUCGAGCUAUCUCCACAUUUAAAUUCAACUACUGCAAAAGCUAAGGGCAACACUCCCCUAUUGCCAUCCAAUACAAUAGCACAUAGGAAUAUCCCACCAUAAAAUCCCUUAAGAUGACAUUCAUCCAACACAAAAAAGGGGUCUACAUAUAUCUAUGAAUCAUGCUCUAACAGCAUCAAACAUGAUAAAUACUUUCUUGAAGACCCUAGGUUCAUUACAAUUAACAGGUUCAGUACUUUGAAUUUUCACCUCAUUACCAGGAUUGAACAUCUACAAGAAGUGUACAUACUUAUGCAAUUGUUUGUAAGAGUCUUCAUGCAAACUAAUAUUUUUUUCUUUUGCCUUACAUUUGGUUUUAUACAACUGCCAUAUAGGGGGCUAACACCCCACUUUUCCUUCAAUUCAUUUCGCAUCAAUUCAUAACUCAUUUUAAUAUCAGCUCUCAAAUUACUCUUAAGUUUUUCAGCAAUCCAAAUGCAAGUAUGGUUAUAUUUUGGUUGUCAAUUGGUCUUAUACAUGUAUAUUCAUCUUGCAACGUUUUAAUCAUAAAUGUAUUCUUGUCACGUAAAACAGAAGCAUAAAAUCUCCAAGGACAAGUAUCAUUGUCACAUACUGCGGUAACUCUUUUAUUGUCAUUUUUCUUUCUAAUUAUUGUAAAGUCCCCUUUGACUGCAUAGUCUCUAAGUGCAUCUCUAACUACUUGGACAUUAUUGUAACGACCCGGAAACCGGACUGCUACCGGCGCUAGGAUCCAGAUCAGCUUAAGGCCGCCGGGACCCGUAGCAAGCCUAACAUACAUCCUGAAUAACCGGUAUAAUCCCAUAUAUGAUCAAAUAUAAACAUAAAAACUUUAAAAUCUUUUAUAAAAAACUUGACCAAUUUUAAAUUGUAUUUCUUCCCCUUCUUGUCAAGAAAAUUGAUCUGAGUAUAAUCUUUUUAAAUGAUUUUUCCAUUUUCUCUGACGACCCUGAUCAUCUACAGUUUUAGCUUCUUCAUCAAUAUUGUCUUCAUCUCGGCUAUGAAAUCAGAGAAAGGGAUAUAAUCACUUUCACCCAUCAUUUCAUCCUCCAUCUCAUCCUCUUUACACAAUUCUUCAUUAUUAUUGUUUUCACUAUUAGCAUCCACAGAAUCAGUACCAACAGAAUCAACAUCUACAGAAUCUGCACCAACUUCUUCUACAUUUUCCUCCUCUCCUUUUAUGUUUUCUUCUUAUCGGAGCUAGGCUCACGGACGACCCUCCCUGUUCCGUGCACUAGGACCGGGAUUUAAGAUAAUGAACCGGGCAACUCAGGAAAGCGACAGGGGUUUUGGCCCAGCACUAUUUUCUUGAGCUCGAUCUUGUCCAAAAGUGGUGAAGCCCAACGGUCAUCAACAAUCUUAUACUAAUUUCAAUAUAAUUCCCACCAUUCUCAUUUUCAAAAAAAUUUUAAAAUUAACAAAGUUCCCCGUAUAAUCAACAAAUGACAUUACAUAGUGCCACUAAUUUUAUGCAAUCGAUAGAAGUGAUAAUAAUUAAAAUCUCCAUAAUGAUGAGAAUCAAAUGAGUUGAUAAAAAUAUAUUUUGAAGGAAACAGGCAAACCUCCAUUAUAUAUAAUAGCCAGAUACAAAGUAUAAUUGGUACCACAAUAUUGAUUUUGAGAAAUUCUUAUAAAAAAACAAAAAACGUCUUUGGCUGAGAGUAAUUAUUAGAGUCGCAAUUUGUCGCAGAGAUAACUGGUGGCGUGCGCUAGUGGAGGCGUUGAAGUUCGAUCGCGAGGGAGGAUUGCUCCAAGGACGUUGUGUACGAGACAUCGCUGCUGGAAAUUAUUGCUAUUGAUUAUUUGGUGGUUGCUGCAAGUCGAUCACCGAUGGUCAGAGUAGAGCUUUCAUCAUUGACGCUGCAAAUAGCGAGUAACAUUCUCACCAAAGAUGCAAAUCGCAAGCAACAUUCUCAUCAACGACGCAAAUUGCAAGCAGAAGACCCAUGGAAAGUUCGUCCAUUACUCAGCCAAGGAAAGAUGGGUGCUAGAAGAGAAGAUGAUAGAAGAUAAGGAAAUAAAAGAGACGAAUAGAAAGAGAAAAAGGGAAAAGAUAUGAUUUUGGUUAAGGAAUAUGAGGAUAAUUUUAUAAAUUUUUAAAUACAUCCUCGUUUCACCGAGAAUUACACUAGUAAAUUAACUGAAUAUUUAAUAAAAAAUUUUAAUAAUUUUAUUUUAAAAUUAUAAUGGACAUUUUAAUUGGAGUUUAUAAUUAUAAAAAUCUAAUAGUUAAUAUCAUUAAAAUUUAAAAACUCUAUAAUAAUUUUUUAAAAAAAUUUAUAAAAAUUUAAUUAAAAUAAUUUUUACAUAUUUUUAAGCCCAUAUGUAUAGAUAUAUUAAAUAUGUGAUUUUCUUCACAUUACUAAAUUAGGAGAUUAUUUAAUUAAUGAUUUAAAAUUAACAUCAAAAUAAAAAAUAUUUGUUCAUCUUAAAUUAAGCUUUCCAAAAUAAAAAAUCACUAACAAUAUAAAAUUUAGCAUUAUCUAUAAGAUCAAUAAUUAGCAUUGGACUUUUUUCAUUAAUUUUAUUUCUCACGAAACAUUCAAUAAUUUCUAGAAUUUAGAUAAAAUUAAAUUUACAAUUUUAUAGCUUUAAAAAUAAUUUAAUAAUGUCAACCUUAUUAUCUUUUACAUAACAAUGAAAUUAAAAGAAUCUAAUGUAUUAACUGCCAAUUUAGCUAAUGAAGGAAAAUAUUUUCUAAAAUCUGAAUUAGUAUAACUAAAUAAAUUAAUAAUAAAUAUACUAUAUGAUUUAACAAAAAUUUUAAUAAAGAAAAAUAUUAUGAAAAAUAUAUGAAAAGACAAAAGAGUAAAAAUAAGUUGUGGUUUUGACCACAAGUUAACUGGUGUCUCCUUUAACAUGAGGCUGGGCCUUGGUUAGAGACAAGCUUUGGGCUUUUGGGGGCGAUAAUGUAAAUACACUAAUUAUCAAACAUCAAACUAGAAAUAGUUCUGCAGGCUAGUGAAUACGGAGGUUUACUCUUCCAAGUACAUUUCCUAAAUUUACUUUAUAAUUAAUAAUUAUUAUUAUUAUCCUUCAUACUAAUUAUUUAAUUAUAUUUAAAAUAUUAUUAUAUUUUAUACAGUAAAAUUAAAAAUAUAAAUUAAAUUAAAAUAUAAUAUUUAUAUUUUAAUGGAGACCGUUAUUUUUAUUUUAAUAUAGACUUUGAUAUUUAUUUUUUUUGAUCUUUUUGGAAUUGAAAUCUUAUCACAAAGUUAUUAAAAAUUAAAACAGUUAAAUAAAAAAUACAGGAUAAAAGGUGAUACGUGAAGGGAAAACGCAUGGUAACAGUGACGGUAGCGGUGAAAAAAGAUGAAAGUAAUUGAUCAAAUCGAAAAAGAGACUGUGAAUACGUGGUGGAAAAAGAGAAACAUGUUGAGAAGGAGGAGAGGUUAUAUGGUGAUAUCAGAUGUGGUAAACUGUUGCGGGAGUUGGGGUGGCAGUGGAUCUGACUGCUUUGCGAGGGAGGUUGGUUUGGUUUUCUAACAUAAAUUUGAGGUGACUUCUGGACGGAAAUAGUGCAUCAAUUUUGACGGUCUGUUUUUGGAAAUGUGACAUUUUAAUUUUUUUAUAAAACAUUGUAAAAACACAUUUCUCAAGAAAAAAUAUUUUUUAUUAUUUAAUUAUAAUUUUAAAAAUUAAAUAAAGUUAAUAAAAUUUUAAAUUACAGGAUUUUAAAUUAAAAAACAUUCAAAAAAAAUAUUUUUUAAAGAAAUUAAUUUUAUUUUGUAAAAAAUAUUUUUAUAUAUAAUCAUUAUUUUGUUUAAAAUAAUUAUGAAAUUUAUAAUUAAGUCGGGUAUUUCAGCUACUCAAAGAAGAUAGAUUUAAAUAAUUAUAAUCGAAUUUGAUACGAAUUUUAAAAAAUAAAAUCGUGAUGAAUUUGAAUCGGGUUUAGAUUUUAUUAUAAGAUAUUUAUCGCUAAACUCGUUUAUAUUUAUAAUUAAUUUAAUAUAAAAAUAUAUAUUUUAGAAUAAUAUUUAUAAAUUAAUUAUAUGUUUUUAUUUAAAAUUAAAAUAAAAUAUUUUUUUAAAAUAUUAAAUUUUUAAAUGAAAAUUAUUAAUAAAAAAUAUUUUUUAUAUAAAUUAUUAAUUAAAAUAUAAGAGACUAAACGGUAUUUUAUUUGAGUAAUAAUAAUCGAGUUUGAAAUGAGUUCAGAUAAUUUAUAUUAAUUUUUAAUUGAAUUUUAGAUAAUUUCAAGUAUUGUUAAUAUAAAUAGGAUUCUAAUAUAAAUGUAAAUUUUGGAUAUUUUAAUUUUCAAAGAUUUUCAAUUCAUUUGGAAAUCAAUUUUAAUUUGGAGUGGAAACGAUUCCACUUUUAAAAAUUUAGAGUUCAAUUUUGAAAUCAUUUCGGUAUAGUCGACUAUUUUUAAAACUAUAAUAAUAUAGUUAUUUGAUAGGUAAAAUGCUUUUUAUAAAUUUUUUGAUUCAAGGAAACUCCUAAUUAAGCAGUAAGAUUAUAUUAAACCUUAUCAUUAAGUACCGCUACACUUUCCGUUAUAUGGAUGAGAUUUUUCUCCUUAAAACGAGUCAAAGGAAAGGGAAUUGUAGAAAAAGGAGGCAAAAGGGCUGCCGGGAUUUUUAAUCUCUAAAAUUUAACGUAAUUAAUACUUCUAUCCCUUUAUUUGAACGAUUCAAUAUUUUAGUCACUCAUUUUCUCUUUUAUUCAAAUUCGUAUUCCUUCCCUUUAAAUUCGUAAUCCUUCCGUCCAAAAUAGUCAUUUGGUCAAAGAGUCUAAGGUGAAGGUGAGAUUUAUUUCCAAAAAUGCUCUUAAUGAAUUUGUUAAAACCCCUCUCAACCUGAAAUCCCUCUAUUUUGCUUCUCCCUCAUAUCUUAUCUGUUUCUUUUCGGCUUUCAUUGAUUUUCCUUUUUUUUUUUCUCUCUUUUCCAUCUUUAUUCUCACUCAUAUCUUUCUACUUUCUCAUAUUUUUGGUCUCCCUCAUAUAUUCUCUAUUUUCUUUCGGUUAUUGUUAAUUCUCCUUUUUUUUUUUUCUCAUUUCCAUCUUUCUUCUCUCUCAUAUCUUUUUUCUCCCUCAUAUCUUCUCUAUUUUCUUUCGGCCAUUAUUGUGAAUCAUCACUGAGGAAGAAUAAUAUUUGUAUCAAAUGGGUCUGCCGGGUACUAGAAUGAAAGAUUGAAAAAUGUGAACUGUAGAUGUGGCAAAGGGGUUGGGAUAAUGAUUUCUGAGUCAGCCGAAAACCCUAAUAAGCUAUAUUAUUUUUGCAGAGAUAAUGUGUGUGGAACUUUUCGUGGGUAGUGUGAACCUGUGAAUCAAAGUUCAACUCCAUCAAGUGGCAGCAUUAACGUGUAUGAGGGAUGAAAAAUUGAAAAAAGAACACCUAUAGAAUAAAUGCUAGAGAAGGUCAUAGAAGAUAUUGCAAAAAUGAAAAAUGAUUUGAGAAGAUGAAGGAAGAACAAAGAGCUACUAGGGAUGAGAUUGCAAAUAUUAUGGGGAUUAUGUGCCAAUUGAGAAUAAUUUAUAUUGUUUUGAUUUUUGUUGUAGUUGGAGUAGCAAUGAAAGUGAUUUAAAAUAACAUAUACCAUGAAUUUAGAUAAUGGAAAUUACUUCUUUUGCUGUGAAUAUAUAUUUUGAAUUUACAGUAAUACGAGGGACUAAAGUGUUUGAAUAUUUAAUUUUAUGAGGAUAUAAGUAUUUAAAAAUUGAGUAUAUGAGGACUAAAGUGUCUGCAAAUUUAAAAAUAUAAGGAUUACAGUAUUUGAAUAUUUAAAUGUAUGGGGACUAUAGUGUUGUUAACUUUUAGUUAAUUAAGUGACAGUAUCCUUCACAAAUAUAUUAUUUUGUUACAAAGUACUUUAUCUCCAUUCAUACAUAAAAAUGUUAUAAAAAAGUAGUUAACAAGAAAUGUAAAUGCAUACACAGUAUGUGAAAAAAACUGCAUAUUCAUUCAUAUAAAAGUUUCAUCACUACAACAUUAGCCUUAUCAUUCUACUGAUAAAGUCUAUUACAUUGCGAAUAAAAUUUUAUCCAUUAUAUCACAAAAUAUAUCUAAAAAACUAUCUAAAUUCUCCAAAACUGUCUAAAAUACCUUUACAAUAUCUGAAAAUAACCAGUAUAUAUUCAAAAUAGCUGCACAUCAAAAUAUCUCAAGAAGAUCAAUAUAUGUUCAAAACCUGCAAAUGAAAUCUAUAAAAAAAAUAAAUAAAUAAACAUCAAAAGCUGCAAACUAAUUAUGUAAAAAAAAAAUACAAUUUCAUCCAAUUUGGACUAAAUUAAAACUUACCAAAUCUGUCCAAAAAAAUAUGUUGUGCAUCUAAUAUAUCCAACAAAAAACUCACAACCUGCAUACCUAUUCACAAAAAAUAUCACAACAUGCAAAAAUAAAUCUGCCCAAAAAAUAUAAGUUUCAAAAUGUCUUUAAUUUUUCAAAAUGCAUCUUAAUUUGCUGAUGCUUGUCUAUGGAGGUCCAUUGGUUGAGUAGAAUUAAUAUCCACCGUCUCUUGUUCAGUUUGUUCUAUUUCAAAAUGACUUCGCCUGUGACUACUGGUGGACUACAAUCGAAAUUAGUAGAAAUAGUCAAAUAAAUUGAAAUAGUAAAUGGACAUAUAUGUAAAUGAAAAUAGUAAUUAGAAAGAUAUUCUUACCCUACUAGGUGUAACCUAACAGGUUCUUUUGUUAUCUCCUACUUGUGAUACCUUUUGCAAACCACUGUGGUAUUCCUUGUCCUCUUUGUAGCUGGACCUGCCUCACCAUCUUCUCUCCUUCUUAUCUUUUUUGGUCUACCUGGUUGCCCUUUCAAAAGAGGAGGCUGUAUUAGUGGGUGAUCCUCAUGUGGUUGUAAAUUCCUUUGUGGUAUGAGAUAUAUUGCAUGUUGAUAUACCUUAUUGUAUAUAGAAAUGGUGAAACAUUCAUCACAAAGGUUUUCAAUCUCAGCUCUCUUGUAUCUUAUUGAUUUAACAACAUGCUUGCAUGGCAUGUCUGAAAUGUCCCACCAACCACAUAAACAAGUUAUCCUUUCAAGUGAAAAAUGCAAACCUACAAGGACAUUCAAAUUUAUCAUUUCUUCCAGGAAUUAACUUCACAUAUCUCAUUUGGUUUAUAAUUUGCCUCAAAGUCUUCUGAGUCAUUUGGGUCACUUUACCUUGCCAAGUUGUAGCCCUCUCAUAUCUUUCAUGGAAUCUAAGCAUACAUUUCUGUCUUACCUUCUCAAUAAUCUGAAUGAUUGGCAAACCCUUCAGAUUUUCAAUUCAGCGGUUAAAUGAUUCAGUGAAAUUAUUAGUAUCGUUGUCACACUUUGUUGUUAUCCAAAAUGCAUGUCUUGACCAAUAUGAAAGUGAUAUCUUCAGCAACCAAUCAUAAGGCUUAUGCUCCUUCUUAGGUUUCAUAUUGUAAAACCCCCUUUGACUGCAUAGUCCCUAAGUGCAUCUCUAACUGCUUGGAUAUUAUAAAAAACUUGACCAAUUUUAAAUUGUAUUUGUUCCACUUUUUAACAAGAAAAUGGAUCUGAGUAUAAUCCUUUUAAAGGAUAUUUUCAUUUUCUCUGACAACACUGAUCAUUUACAAUUUCAGCUUCUUCAUCAAUACUGUCUUCAUCUCCACUAUGAAAAACAGAGAAAGGGAUAGAAUCACUUUCACCCAUCAUUUCAUCCUCCAUCUCAUCCUCUUUAUACAAUUCAUCAUUAUUAUUGUCUUCACUAUCAGCACCCACAGAAUCAACAUCCACAGAAUCUGCACCCACAGAAUCUGUACUAUCCUCAGUUUCUUCUACAUUUUCCUCCUCUCCUUCUAUGUUUUCCUCACCUUCUUCAUUUUUCCAACCUUCUACAUUUUCCUCCUUUCCUUCUUUGUUUUCCUCCUCUACUUCUAUAUUUUCCUCACCUUCUACAUUUUCCUCACCUUCUAUAUUUUCUCCACCUUUUACAUUUUCUUCAUCUUUUACAUUUUCUUCAUCUUCACUAUUUCUAGUACUAGGACCCUCAAUAUUAAUUUCAUGAAACACACCCUAACUGCCCCUAACAGAACCACUUUCCUUCUCAUAAUUCCUAACUGGUACAAUUUCAACAGCAUCAACUUCAUGCUCAAUAUCAAUAUAACAUAUAUUUUUCCCUUUCCUAUUUCCUCUAGGUAUUUCUACAUUUAAUGCUACUGCCUUAGUUGUAACAACUAAGGGUAUUUCUUAGUUUUCCAUGUAAAGUUCAAAUAUAAGCAUUAUGUCAACAUCAUUCUUUAUUGUGAAACCAUUACCGGCCUUAAUCUCUAUAAAAUCACUCUUUAAAUUUAAUAACUUAUAUAUGUCGGUCAAUAGUUUGAUGUAGGAGUACCUGUCGGCAAGCAAAUUGUUCAUUCUCUGCCCUUCAUAUUUGAUUAACAAAUUAUAACUCUCAGAUUUAUCCAUUGCUAUCUGUGAAAAUAAAAAAAGAAAUUACACAAUUAAUUUUCAAAUCAUUAAACCCCUAAUCUUAACAGUAAACCCUAGAAAAAUCAAUAAAUAAAAAAUUAUUUAUUGUAACUCAAAAAAUCUAAACAGUAAAACAAUGAAUUUGUCUUCAUCGUAAAAUAAAAGGGAUUUUCGUACCUUUGAAGUGGACCCCGAUUUUAUUUUCUUCUGCAUAUAUGAACACUGACUCCACCUUUGGAAUAUAGUGGGUUUAGUGUUUCUCGAGAAGAUUAAGGAAAUGAGAGACAAUGGAACUAUAGAGAGAGAGGAGUUUUGAUAGAGACAGAGAGAGCACGAGAGAGAGGGACAAGGCUUCGACAAAGACAGAGAGAGCGCGAGAGAGAGGGACAAAGCUGAGAGAGAGAGACAAAGCUGAGAGAGAGAAGUUUAGACAAAGACAGAGAGAGCGCGAGAGAGAGGGAGAAGAAAGAGGGAUAGAGUUUCGUGAUUUUGAAAUAGAGGAACUCUUAAUGAGGGUCAAGAAAGAGGAAUAGAGUUUCGUGAUUUUGAAAUAGAGGGACUUUUAAUGAGGGUCAAUUUUGUCAAUUCACGUGUUCUAAAUGACUAUUUUGGAUGGAAGGAUUACGAAUUUGGACGGACUACGAAUUUGAACGGAAGAGAAAGCGAGGGACUUAAGUGUUGGAUUGUCAAAAUAAAGAGAUAAAAGUGUUAAUUACAUUAAAUUUCAGGGACUAAAAAAUAUCUUUCCUUUUUUUUUUAUAUAAAUUUCAUUAAUACAGUGCUUCAUUUGACUUGAAAUAAAAAAUUAAAAAAAUUAUUAUUGUCCUUCUAUUAAAAAUAAUUAAUUUCUUCUUUUAAUUUUGUGUGAAAUGUUUGAAAUAGGCUUUGAUUUUCUUCUAAUUUGCAAUGUUCACUUCCUCCGACCCAUUACAAUUGAUGUUCUAAAAUCCAGAGAAUAGGAUUUACAGUGCGAUUGUAAAUUUAGAUAGAGGGAGGUGUUCCCCUUCUUUUAUUCAUUUCCUUUUAUUUACUAGUGAUGUCUAACGGCCUCUUUGUGCCACCUGUGUUUAUCACGCGGAUUCGUAUGUAUAGAAAUGUCAGAGUUUCUCUCCAUACUAAGCGGUCAUUUAAUUCCCCUGACACGCAUGCAGGCAGAGCUGCGAAGUGCCUGGGCCUGCUAUCUUUCACCACGUCACAUUACCGGGCUGGAUUUUUUCUCAUCGGACCUGGACUCAUGGACGACCCAUGUCCCGCGCACUUGGACGGGAACUUAAAUUACUAAACCGGGCGACUGAGGAAGGCUUUAGGAAUUUUGGACCAAGGCUGUUUUCUUGGGUCCGAUCUUGUAACACUAUUAUACUAAUUUCAAUAUGAUUCCCAUCAUUCUCAUUUUCAGAAGAUUUUUAAAAUUAACAAAGUUCUCCAAAUAAUCAACAAAUGAAAUUACAUAGUGCCACUAAUUUAUGCAAUCGAUAGAAGUGAUAAUAAUUAAAAUCUCCAUAAUGAUGAGAAUCAAAUGAGUUGAUAAAAAAAUAUUCUGAAGGAAACAGGCAAACCUCCAUUAUAUAUAAUAGCCUGAUACAAAGUAUAAUUGGUACCAAAAUAUUGAUUUUGAGAAGUUCUUACAAAAAAAAAAAUCGUCUUUGGCUGAGAGUAAUAAUCAGAGUCCCAAUUUGUCGCAGAGAUAACUGGUGGCGUGCGCUAGUGGAGGCGUUCAAGUUGAACGCGAGGGAGGAUUACUCCAAGGACGUUGUGUGUGAGACAUCGCUGCUGUAAAUUAUUGCUAUUGAUUAUCGGUGGUUGCUGAUCACCGAUGGUCAGAGGAGAGCUUUCAUCAUUGACGCUGCAAAUCGCGAGUAACAUUCUCACCAACGAUGCAAAUCGCAAGCAACAUUCUCAUCAACGACGCAAAUUGCAAGCAGAAGACCCAUGGAAAGUUCGUCCAUUACUCAGCCAAGGAAAGAUGGGUGCUAGAAGAGAAGAUGAUAGAAGAUAAGGAAAUGAAAGAGACGAAUAGAAAGAGAAAAAGGGAAAAGAUAUGAUUUUGGUAAAGGAAUAUGAGGAUAAUUUUAUAAAUUUUUU